AUUGCCCGCUGGCGGCAGGCCUAACACAUGCAAGUCGAACGAGUGGCGGACGGGUGAGUAAUGUCUGGGAAACUGCCCGAUGGAGGGGGAUAACUACUGGAAUCGGUAGCUAAUACCGCAUACCAUCGGAUGUGCCCAGAUGGGAUUAGCUGGUGGGUGGGUUCCCGGCUCACCUAGGCGACGAUCCCUAGCUGGUCUGAGAGGCGGACCAGCCACACUGGAACUGAGACACGGUCCAGACUCCUACGGGAGGCAGUAGUGGGGAAUAUUGCACAAUGGGCGCAAGCCUGAUGCAGCCAUGCCGCGUGUAUGAAGAAGGCCUUCGGGUUGUAAAGUACUUUCAGCGAGGAGGCGUUACUCGCAGAAGAAGCACCGGCUAACUCCGUGCCAGCAGCCGCGGUAAUUC
rnacentral:rRNA from 1 species